rnacentral:rRNA from 1 species
GACGAACGCUGGCGGCAGGCCUAACACAUGCAAGUCGAGCGAGCGGCGGACGGGUGAGUAAUGUAUGGGGACUGCCCGAUAGAGGGGGAUAACUACUGGAAACGGUGGCUAAUACCGCAUACUAUCGGAUAACCCAUAUGGGAUAAGCUAGUAGGUGGGGUAAAGGCACACCUAGGCGACGAUCUCUAGCUGGGAGGAGAGGAUGAUUAGCCACACGGGGACUGGGACACGGCCCAGACUCAGACGGAGGCAGCAGUGGGGAAUAUUGCACAAUGGGCUCAAGCCUGAUGCAGCCAUGCCGCGUGUAUGAAGAAGGCCUUCGGGUUGUAAAGUACUUUCAGCGGGGAGGCGUUACCCGCAGAAGAAGCACCGGCUAACUCCGUGCCAGCAGCCGCGGUAAUUC